rnacentral:rRNA from 1 species
GUGACAUACCUAAACGUUGCUUCGGCGGGAACAGACGGCCCCGUGAAACGGGCCGCCCCCGCCAGAGGACCCCUAACUCUGUUUCUAUAAUGUUUCUUCUGAGUAAAACAAGCAAAUAAAUUAAAACUUUCAACAACGGAUCUCUUGGCUCUGGCAUCGAUGAAGAACGCAGCGAAAUGCGAUAAGUAAUGUGAAUUGCAGAAUUCAGUGAAUCAUCGAAUCUUUGAACGCACAUUGCGCCCGCCAGUAUUCUGGCGGGCAUGCCUGUUCGAGCGUCAUUACAACCCUCAGGCCCCCGGGCCUGGCGUUGGGGAUCGGCGGAGCCCCCCGUGGGCACACGCCGUCCCCCAAAUACAGUGGCGGUCCCGCCGCAGCUUCCAUCGCGUAGUAGCUAACACCUCGCGACUGGAGAGCGGCGCGGCCACGCCGUAAAACACCCAACUCUUCUGAAGUUGACCUCGAAUCAGGUAGGAAUACCCGCUGAACUUAAGCAUAUCAAUAAGCGGAGGA